UACGUAGGGUGCAAGCGUUAAUCGGAAUACUGGGCGUAAAGCGUGCGCAGGCGGUUUUGUAAGUUUGUCGUGAAAUCCCCGGGCUUCAACCUGGGAAUGGCGAUGAAGACUGCAAGGCUAGAAUCUGGCAGAGGGGGGUAGAAUUCCACGUGUGAGCAGUGAAAUGCGUAGAGAUGUGGAGGAACACCGAUGGCGAAGGCAGCCCCCUGGGCAAGA
rnacentral:rRNA from 1 species